AGAGUUUGAUCAUGGCUCAGGAUGAACGCUAGCGGCAGGCUUAACACAUGCAAGUCGAGGGGCAGCAUUUAGUUGGCGACCGGCAAACGGGUGCGGAACACGUACGCAAUCUACCAUUACCUGGGGCAUAGCCCGGAGAAAUCCGGAUUAACUCCCCAUAACAUAAAUGAGUGGCAUCACUUGAUUAUUAAAAAUUCAUU
rnacentral:rRNA from 1 species